AAAUUUGCGUUGAUGAAGAGUAGUAAUUUAUAUGAACACUUAAAGAGAGCUGGUGGUUGGUGAGAACCAGUGUGAACGUAUAAAUGAAUGGACUUCGGAGCAUCCAAACCGAAAAUCAAUUUUGAACAGUAGGCUUUGGCGAAUGUCUCAUCGUUACAAGAGACGGGUAUUAAGUUGUCAAACUUGAUAUUGUCAAAGUGGGCUGUUCGUCAGCUAAUAAAGGUGGUACCGCGGGUUCCUCGUCCUUUUG
rnacentral:ncRNA from 1 species